GGAUGCGAUCAUACCAGCACUAAAGCACCGGAUCCCAUCAGAACUCCGAAGUUAAGCGUGCUUGCGCGAGAGUAGUACUAGGAUCGGUGACCUCCUGGGAAGUCCUAGUGUUGCAUUCC
rnacentral:rRNA from 2 species